rnacentral:rRNA from 1 species
UACGGGGGGGGCGAGCGUUGUUCGGAGUUACUGGGCGUAAAGGGUGUGUAGGCGGUUGUUUAAGUUUGGUGUGAAAUCUCCCGGCUCAACUGGGAGGGUGCGCCGAAUACUGAAUGACUAGAGUGCGGGAGAGGAAAGUGGAAUUCCUGGUGUAGCGGUGAAAUGCGUAGAUAUCAGGAGGAACACCGGUGGUGUAGACGGCUUUCUGGACCGUAACUGACGCUGAGACACGAAAGCGUGGGUAGCAAACAGG